rnacentral:misc_RNA from 1 species
UAUCACCGAAUUCGAGAUGACACCCAAUGAAGCGAACCAUUGAACAACCCCGCCGUUACCUCCCAUUACACUCAUAAACAAAUACAAUAUUUAGUUAUCAUGCUAGUGCUGGAAGUCAUACUGAAGUGAGACAAUGCCAUCUCACCAGGUUAAUCACCAGACUACCACAAUCGGUGGCAUUUUGCUGCAACACCAGUCAUUAUAUAUGUUGCUGUUUAGUAAUGGUGUGGUGCUAUUCUGAUGCAACAAUGAAUAAG